AGAGCGAACGCUGGCGGCAGGCUUAACACAUGCAAGUCGAGCGGGCGUAGCAAUACGUCAGCGGCAGACGGGUGAGUAACGCGUGGGAACAUACCUUUUGGUUCGGAACAACACAGGGAAACUUGUGCUAAUACCGGAUAAGCCCUUACGGGGAAAGAUUUAUCGCCGAAAGAUUGGCCCGCGUCUGAUUAGCUAGUUGGUGAGGUAACGGCUCACCAAGGCGACGAUCAGUAGCUGGUCUGAGAGGAUGAUCAGCCACAUUGGGACUGAGACACGGCCCAAAACUCCUACGGGAGGCAGCAGUGGGGAAUAUUGGACAAUGGGCGCAAGCCUGAUCCAGCCAUGCCGCGUGAGUGAUGAAGGCCCUAGGGUUGUAAAGCUCUUUUGUGCGGGAAGAUAAUGACGGUACCGCAAGAAUAAGCCCCGGCUAACUUCGUGCCAGCAGCCGC
rnacentral:rRNA from 1 species